rnacentral:rRNA from 1 species
UACGAGGGGGGCAAGCGUUGUUCGGAAUUAUUGGGCGUAAAGGGUGCGUAGGCGGUCUGACAAGUCGGGGGUGAAAUCCCGAGGCUCAACCUCGGAACUGCCUUCGAUACUGUCAGUCUUGAGGUCGGGAGAGGUGAGUGGAACUCCGAGUGUAGAGGUGAAAUUCGUAGAUAUUCGGAAGAACACCAGUGGCGAAGGCGGCUCACUGGCCCGAUUCUGACGCUGAGGCGCGAAAGCGUGGGGAGCAAACAGG